CCUACGGGAGGCAGCAGUGGGGAAUCUUGCGCAAUGGGCGAAAGCCUGACGCAGCCACGCCGCGUGCGGGAUGAAGGCCCUAGGGUUGUAAACCGCUUUUAACAGGAACGAAAAUGACGGUACCUGUAGAAUAAGGUGCGGCCAACUACGUGCCAGCAGCCGCGGUGACACGUAGGCACCAAGCGUUGUCCGGAUUUAUUGGGCGUAAAGAGCUCGUAGGCGGUUCAGUAAGUCGGGUGUGAAAACUCUGGGCUUAACCCAGAGACGCCACUCGAUACUAUUGUGACUAGAGUUCGGUAGGGGAGCGGGGAAUUCCUAGUGUAGCGGUGAAAUGCGCAGAUAUUAGGAGGAACACCGGUGGCGAAGGCGCCGCUCUGGGCCGAUACUGACGCUGAGGAGCGAAAGCGUGGGUAGCAAACAGGAUUAGAUACCCUGGUAGUCCACGCCGUAAACGGUGGGCACUAGGUGUGGGUUCCAAACCAACGGAACGUACGCGCCGUCGCUACGACAUAAGUAGCCCGCCGUCGGGAGGUACGGCCGCGAACGGUAAAACGUAACGAAAGAAGUAGACGGCGUGAGACGNGCCGAACGGACGACGACGAGGGGAAGGUUAGG
rnacentral:rRNA from 1 species